AUUGAACGCUGGCGGUAUGCCUUACACAUGCAAGUCGAACGGUAGAGGAGCAAUCCUCGAGAGUGGCGAACGGGUGAGUAAUACAUCGGAACGUGCCCAGUCGUGGGGGAUAACGUAGCGAAAGCUACGCUAAUACCGCAUACGACCUGAGGGUGAAAGCGGGGGACCGCAAGGCCUCGCGCGAUUGGAGCGGCCGAUGGCAGAUUAGGUAGUUGGUGGGGUAAAGGCCCACCAAGCCUGCGAUCUGUAGCUGGUCUGAGAGGACGACCAGCCACACUGGGACUGAGACACGGCCCAGACUCCUACGGGAGGCAGCAGUGGGGAAUUUUGGACAAUGGGCGAAAGGCCUGAUCCAGCCAUACCGCGUGCGGGAAGAAGGCCUCGGGUUGUAAG
rnacentral:rRNA from 1 species